UAAUACGGAGGAUCCAAGCGUUAUCCGGAUUUAUUGGGUUUAAAGGGUGCGUAGGCGGCCUGUUAAGUCAGGGGUGAAAGACGGUAGCUCAACUAUCGCAGUGCCCUUGAUACUGAUGGGCUUGAAUACACUAGAGGUAGGCGGAAUGUGACAAGUAGCGGUGAAAUGCAUAGAUAUGUCACAGAACACCGAUUGCGAAGGCAGCUUACUAUGGUGUCAUUGACGCUGAGGCACGAAAGCGUGGGGAUCAAACAGGAUUAGAUACCCUGGUAGUCCACGCCCUAAACGAUGAAUACUCGCUGUUGGCGAUACACAGUCAGCGGCUAAGCGAAAGCGUUAAGUAUUCCACCUGGGGAGUACGCCCGCAAGGGU
rnacentral:rRNA from 1 species